rnacentral:rRNA from 1 species
CCUACGGGAAGCAGCAGUGGGGAAUAUUGGACAAUGGGGGGAACCCUGAUCCAGCGACGCCGCGUGAGUGAAGAAGUAUUUCGGUAUGUAAAGCUCUAUCAGCAGGGAAGAAAGAAAUGACGGUACCUGACUAAGAAGCCCCGGCUAACUACGUGCCAGCAGCCGCGGUAAUACGUAGGGGGCAAGCGUUAUCCGGAUUUACUGGGUGUAAAGGGAGCGUAGACGGCGAUGCAAGUCUGAAGUGAAAGGCGGGGGCCCAACCCCCGGACUGCUUUGGAAACUGUAUGGCUGGAGUGCAGGAGAGGUAAGUGGAAUUCCUAGUGUAGCGGUGAAAUGCGUAGAGAUUAGGAGGAACACCAGUGGCGAAGGCGGCUUACUGGACUGUAACUGACGUUGAGGCUCGAAAGCGUGGGGAGCAAACAGGAUUAGAUACCCCGGUAGUC